rnacentral:lncRNA from 1 species
AUGUUUAAGAAGUGGAAUCAUGGGGGCUCAUUGAGAGGAGAAGGAGGAGGCUUGGACAGCAGCCCCAGCAGCAGCAGGUGUGAUGGAGAGCUGGCAGGCACAAGAAGAACCAGGAGACUCCUCCAUCGGACCCUGUUAGGACUCAGCAGGUGCAGAGGUUCCGAAACUGAGGACCGUCUCCCUUCAACCACUCUGCAUGCCGUUCCUGGAGUCUGGCCGUCCUUGUGUCUCCAUAAAGGCCCGUGUCCGCGGUGCUAUGCACGUAUUCCUAUAUUCUCAUUUAUUUUUAAAAUAUAUGCAUUCUCGAUGGAAGUGAUAUUGCCCCAAAGAGGGAGUCAAAACUGACUUUUAGGAGGCAAACACUCUCACUCAUUUUAUAUAUAAAACACAGAUAUAUUGGCAGCACAUCAACAGACAAAUUGUAUGCCUGCAGUAUUAAAAUUUAUGUAGGUGGGGAAAGGUCAUAAGGGGAAUGAUAAUGAAAAAUGAAAAUGAGGAUCACAGCUCUAUUUGAUUUGUCAAAUUAAGAGAAAGUAUAUUUAGUCUCCCAUCGUAUCCUGUAUUCUUGAUACAUAUGUACACACACACACAGACUUUUAUGUUUAGCUUCUAUAUUGUUUGUUGAAAAUCAUUUUAAGAAUGCCAUAGCGUCCCGAGUGGCUCCUACGGAUAGCGUCUGACUGUUGGUUUCAGCUCAGGUGGUGAUCUCAGGGUUGUGAGAUCGAGCCCCGUGUCUGGCUCCAUGCAGGCAAGGAGCCAGCUUAGGAUUUUC